GACAGAGGGUGCAAACGUUGUUCGGAAUUACUGGGCGUAAAGCGUGUGUAGGCGGCUUUGCAAGUCGGAUGUGAAAGCCCCGGGCUCAACCCGGGAAGUGCACUCGAUACUGCGGAGCUUGAGUAUGGGAGAGGUUGGUGGAAUUCUCGGUGUAGAGGUGAAAUUCGUAGAUAUCGAGAGGAACACCGGCGGCGAAGGCGGCCAACUGGACCAUUACUGACGCUGAGGCGCGAAAGCCAGGGGAGCAAACGGG
rnacentral:rRNA from 1 species